rnacentral:misc_RNA from 1 species
GAUGAAGAACGUAGCGAAAUGCGAUAAGUAAUGUGAAUUGCAGAAUUCAGUGAAUCAUCGAAUCUUUGAACGCACAUUGCGCCCGCCAGCAUUCUGGCGGGCAUGCCUGUUCGAGCGUCAUUUCAACCCUCAAGCUCUGCUUGGUGUUGGGGCCCUACGGUUGACGUAGGCCCUUAAAGGUAGUGGCGGACCCUCUCGGAGCCUCCUUUGCGUAGUAACUAACGUCUCGCACUGGGAUUCGGAGGGACUCUUGCCGUAAAACCCCAAAAUUUUUAAAGGUUGACCUCGGAUCAGGUAGGAAUACCCGCUGAACUUAAGCAUAUCAAUAAGCGGAGGA